CGCGCACGCCUCAAGUCGGUGUUGAAUUUUGCCGUCAGACUACGAGAUCACCAUUGUCCAUCAUUCAGUAUGAUUUCGAGAGUAGUCGAAAGACAUUGAGGCGCUAUUUAUUGAUGCCAACUAUUCAGAUCACAAUGCCAUAAACUAGAAAAUGAUUAAAUUAUCUUGGAGACUGAAAAUUAAGUAAAAGAAUUGGAAGCCCCGAAGAUCAACGAAAAAAAUGAGUUGUUUAUCUCAAAAAAGAAACAACAGUAAUGUUAAUGUUGUCAGACGAACAUUUUUCAAAAGUUAAAAUCGAUAAUAAUGAUCGUUUCCAAAUACCGGAUUUCAAUAGGAUUCUAAAUUUUUCUCGUCAUUUGUUUGCAGUUUUGCGUGGGGAUAAAAUGUACAAAUGAUAUAUAAAACAUGGAGUGUUGAACACAAAUAUACAAGUGCCCAGAUUUCACCUUUUAAAGAAAAAAUCUUAAAAUAAGAAAAAACCAUAAUUUAAAAACAAUGAAAUAACUUUUUGCCAAACCACAUAACAAAGAGUAGUUGGUCAUCAAGAUUUCAAAAAUUUAAUUACAUAUCUAGUUGCAGCAGUAACAAAUGUGCAUAAGAUUCAGUGACAAUAUUGUGCAAUUCCAAAU